rnacentral:rRNA from 1 species
AGAGACAGCAGUAGCCGCGGUAAAACGAAGGGUGCAAGCGUUAAUCGGAAUUACUGGGCGUAAAGCGUGCGUAGGCGGUGAGUUAAGUCUGCUGUGAAAUCCCCGGGCUCAACCUGGGAAUGGCAGUGGAUACUGGCUCGCUAGAGUGUGUCAGAGGAUGGUGGAAUUCCCGGUGUAGCGGUGAAAUGCGUAGAGAUCGGGAGGAACAUCAGUGGCGAAGGCGGCCAUCUGGGACAACACUGACGCUGAGGCACGAAAGCGUGGGGAGCAAACAGGAUUAGAUACCCGAGUAGUCCCUGUCUCUUAUAC